rnacentral:rRNA from 1 species
CUUUACUGUAACUUGAGACUGAUUUCGGGCUUUAUUUGCGCAGUAUAGGUGGAAGGCGUUGAAAGUAAUCUUGCGGGAUUAGUGGAGCCAUCAGUGAGAUACCACUCCUAUAAUGUUAGAUUUCUAACUUUGGAUCAUGAUCUGGUCAAAGAACAGUUUCAGGCGGGCAGUUUGACUGGGGCGGUCGCCUCCCAAAUGGUAACGGAGGCGUACAAAGGUUUCCUCUGAACGGGUAGAAAUCGUAUCUAGAGUGUAAAGGCAUAAGGAAGCUUGACUGUGAGACCUACAAGUCGAGCAGGGACGAAAGUCGGUCUUAGUGAUCUGACGGUGCUGAGUGGAAAGGCCGUCACUCAACGGAUAAAAGUUA